rnacentral:rRNA from 1 species
AUUGAACGCUGGCGGCAGGCCUAACACAUGCAAGUCGAACGAGUGGCGGACGGGUGUGUAAUGUCUGGGAAACUGCCUGAUGGAGGGGGAUAACUACUGGAAACGGUAGCUAAUACCGCAUACCCUCAGAUGUCCCCAGAUGGGAUUAGCUUGUUGGUGGGGUAACGGCUCACCAAGGCGACGAUCCCUAGCUGGUCUGAGAGGUUGACCAGCCACACUGGAACUGAGACACGGUCCAGACGCCUACGGGAGGCAGCAGUGGGGAAUAUUGCACAAUGGGCGCAAGCCUGAUGCAGCCAUGCCGCGUGUAUGAAGAAGGACUUCGGGUUGUAAAGUACUUUCAGUGGGGAGGCGUUACCCUCAGAAGAAGCACCGGCUAACUCCGUGCCAGCAGCCGCGGUAAUUC